rfam:Alligator mississippiensis ScZkoYb_8, whole genome shotgun sequence.
AGCUUUGCGCAAUGGCAGUAUCGUAGCCAAUGAGGUUAAUCCGAGGCGCGAUUAUUGCUAGUACCACAGAAAGAAAAGAUGAAUACAAAUGAAGGAGAAACUAUUUUUCUUAAUUAUUUAGCAAUGGUUUGACUACC